rnacentral:lncRNA from 1 species
GUGCACAGUGAGAGGGAAGUCCAGCGCACAGUGUCUCCUAGGUCGCAUGUGAUGGAGGCAAAAUGCAGGCGACAGAUGUCGGGGGAGUUGGGGUUGCAGAUCAGGGAACGAUCCUGAUGAAAAGGGAUGAGUCCUUGAAAGCAUCUUUUUCCAGAAUUCUUGUUGAUCUUGAGAUGUUUUCAAGGCUAAGGGGAGCUAGUAGGGAGGGGAGGAGGUGGCCAGCAGAGUCUGCUCUCACACUGGGUCAUGCGGUGACCACAUCCGCAUGGGGCACUGGGUCUCCCUGGAGCGGGAAGUGGAGGGUGUGCACCAGGCUGGGUGUCUGGGGACCACAGCACACACUGUGGAAGCCAGGCCCCAGGGCCCCCAUACAUCACCCCAGCUAUGAGGGUGGAAGCACCUCUGGGCGCUGCAUUCUGCUUCCCUCCUCCACCGCAAGUGUGGAUGCCGUAGAAUCUACUGAAGGACAAUGGAAAGACAGAGGGACCCUGGCGGGUCCUCAGCCAGACAGGGUCCGCGGUGACAGCCAGGAGGUGUCUGACCCAGCAUGCGAACUUGGCUGGGUGGCUUCUUUUCCAACCAAGCUGCCAAGUCAUGGACAACCUUCUUGGAUCUAGUGCUCCCCGAGUGGAAUAAACCGCACGGGUUUCCAAGUAAACGGCUGGCUUCUGGCCCAUUUCUCCAUGUACUUUGAGUUUCAAAUGGAUAGUAGGAUGCGUCUGCCCACUUCUAAGCUACCCAAGAGGGCACACACCUCAUUAACACCAUGGCCCAACAGUGCAAGCUCCAAUAGGAAAUAUGCUCGCUUCUCCAACACAACUAACGUCCUCACAAACAAUCUCAGGCUGUGCUUCCUGAAAAUCCUGCUUGAGCUUCCUAUAAACUUAAGGGACUUGGUGACUUCUCUGUCCCCUGUUCUUCACUGUGAAACCCACUACAAAACCACUGCCUUCUUGGAAUAGCUACAGAUGGUCAGGGUGAGGCUGACAUUUGCCUUACACAGGAUGUAAGGAUACACCAAGAAGUAACCAGGUAAAUAAUGUUUAAUGCAAUAUUUUUAAAAGUCAAAAUACUCCAAGAAGCUAUGAUGGACAAAAUAUUAAAAUUAUAAAGAAC